CUGGUUGACGCAUGGUCCUCUCUCGGCUUGGCGCCCUGGCGGCGCCGCUUGCAGGGGUCCUUAACACCGCGCUUGAUGUGGUCUUGAAGCUCCUCUUGGGCGAGCUUCUUGACUGUCUGCUGCUUGCUGCUGGAUGUAGCGGCCUUUUCCUUUGAAAUUUGCCUUGAAUGGUGGGGACUUGGUGAACUUGCUGUCUGCCCCAUCAUUGGCCAUUCGCUGCUCCGGUUUAUAGCUUCGAUCAAGGAUCUCUGCCAUGCGCAUUGCCUCCUGCAGCCUAGCCGGCUGCUUGAGCUUUAUCUCCUUGGGCAGCUAUAGUUUGAGACCGUCAAUGAAGGUCCCAAGCAAGGCUUCCUCAAACCAUCCGCGGACCAUUGUUUGGAGCUGCUGGAACUCAUCGAUGCAGCCUUGGACCUUGCCCUCUUGUUUGAGUUUGGCAAGUUGGCCGUGAUGAUUGACAAUGGGGAAAGGUCCCUAUUGUGUCAUGAAUUCAUCUACAAAGACUAUCCAACCCAUUCUCCUUCCUUCUCAUACAAAGGCCCAGAUCCACCUCCACCAUCGGUUUGCCCUACCUUCUGGGUGGAAACUUGCAAGGGUCACCUGAUCAGUUCUUGGCACUUUAUACACAUCAAAGUACUAAUCCGCCUUUUCUAACCACCCAUACGGGUCUCCCCUGCUGAACUUUGGAAAAUCAAUUUUGGGUUUUCUAUACCCUCGCUCUGUAAGCCGAGGACCCCCCUCACUAAGGUCUUCAUUCCGUACUCCUCUCCUUUUCUCGAUGUGCUCUCUCCGGCCAUGAGGCCUUUGAGCAUGAGAGGGCUCCUCUUCGGCCAUGAUUUCCUCCCCAUAAUACACUUCUUGCCUCACACCCUCUCGAUUUUCUUCGAUCCAUCUCUCCAACGCUACUCCGGGUCCUUCUACUCUUCUUCCCAGUCUCCUGUUUUCUCUCAUGCCAUAGUCCCAUUGGUCGUUUGCCGACCCACUGCCUCCUUCACCCUCCUCUUCUCUUGCCUGGCCUUGCCUUGAGAUAUGCGACCUAGGCCUCUCCCUCUGAUUUUUUUUCUCUCCCUCUCUC
rnacentral:lncRNA from 1 species